GGAAUCUUAGACAAUGGGCGCAAGCCUGAUCUAGCCAUGCCGCGUGAGCGAUGAAGGCCUUAGGGUUGUAAAGCUCUUUCACCGGGGAAGAUAAUGACGGUACCCGGAGAAGAAGCCCCGGCUAACUCCGUGCCAGCAGCCGCGGUAAUACGGGGGGGGCAAGCGUUGUUCGGAAUUACUGGGCGUAAAGGGCGCGUAGGCGGUUUGCUAAGUUGGAUGUGAAAACUCUGGGCUCAACCCAGAGCCUGCAUCCAAAACUGGCUGGCUAGAGUUCUGGAGGGGGAAGCGGAAUUCCUGGUGUAGCGGUGAAAUGCGUAGAUAUCAGGAGGAACACCGGUGGCGAAGGCGGCUCCCUGUACAGAAACUGACGCUGAGGCGCGAAAGCUAGGGGAGCAAAC
rnacentral:rRNA from 1 species